rnacentral:rRNA from 1 species
UACGUAGGGUGCGAGCGCUGUCCGGAAUUAUUGGGCGUAAAGAGCUCGUAGGCGGUCUGUCGCGUCUGCUGUGAAAACCCGAGGCUCAACCUCGGGCCUGCAGUGGGUACGGGCAGACUAGAGUGCGGUAGGGAGAAUGGAACUCCUGGUGUAGCGGUGGAAUGCGCAGAUAUCAGGAAGAACACCGAUGGCGAAGGCAGUUCUCUGGGCCGUAACUGACGCUGAGGAGCGAAAGCGUGGGGAGCGAACAGG